rnacentral:lncRNA from 1 species
UUUUUUUUAUAAUCUUACUAGUCUCUAAAUCUUCCUGCCAUUCUAUCUUAAUAUCCUCAAGGAAGUCGCUGGUCGGAAGUGAAAUGGUCGAAACUUCAGCUUGCUCGGGUAGCUGCGAAAGCGCAUCUGCAAGAACAUUCUCUUUCCCCUUUUUGUAAGUUAUUUCAUAAUCAAAUCUAAGAAGUUUUGUUACCCAUUUUUG